GAUGAACGCUGGCGGCGUGCCUAAUACAUGCAAGUCGAGCGAACAGACGAGGAGCUUGCUCCUCUGACGUUAGCGGCGGACGGGUGAGUAACACGUGGAUAACCUACCUAUAAGACUGGGAUAACUUCGGGAAACCGGAGCUAAUACCGGAUAAUAUAUUGAACCGCAUGGUUCAAUAGUGAAAGACGGGUUUGCUGUCACUUAUAGAUGGAUCCGCGCCGCAUUAGCUAGUUGGUAAGGUAACGGCUUACCAAGGCAACGAUGCGUAGCCGACCGGAGAGGGUGAUCAGCCACACUGGAACUGAGACACGGUCCAGACUCCUACGGGAGGCAGCAGUAGGGAAUCUUCCGCAAUGGGCGAAGGCCUGACGGAGCAACGCCGCGUGAGGGAUGAAGGUCUUCGGAUCGGAAAACUCUGUUAUUAGGGAAGAACAAAUGUGUAAGUAACUAUGCACGUCUUGACGGUACCUAAUCAGAAAGCCACGGCUAACUACGUG
rnacentral:rRNA from 1 species